ACAUGAAUUGAUCCUGAAGGGGGCUGAGCUAGGACCGAGCAGAGGGCAGGGAUUACAGCAGGCUUUACACCCUCGUAUUCCAGAGCUGGGCACAGCCCUGGGCUCAGAGUAGGCGCUUGGGGAGUGUGUUUUGUACAGUGCCUGAUUGAAGGCACGACAUCCAGGCGACCAUACGCCAAGAGCUGGCUCCUGUGCGUCCACAUGAGGUUAUGGGAAGCCAGCUUCCCAAGCACCUUGGAGCAGCAUAGGAAGCCAGGCCGAGAAGCCGAGAACCACAACCCAAGUUGUGUUGCAAGCAAUCUCCACUUCCAAAAGCCAUUUUUGGUCCCCUAAGGCCCAAGAGGAGAAAAUCUCUUACCUUAAUUCUCCAAAUCCUAAAAUACUCCAGCUUUAGUUCAGGGAAGGACAGCUCUGAAGUCCCUCUGGAGUGCUGAACGGAUAUGUAUUUUUUCCAGAUU
rnacentral:lncRNA from 1 species